GAUGAACGCUGGCGGCGUGCCUAAUACAUGCAAGUCGAGCGAACGGACGAGAAGCUUGCUUUUCUGAUGUUAGCGGCGGACGGGUGAGUAACACGUGGAUAACCUACCUAUAAGACUGGGAUAACUUCGGGAAACCGGAGCUAAUACCGGAUAAUAUUUUGAACCGCAUGGUUCAAAAGUGAAAGACGGUCUUGCUGUCACUUAUAGAUGGAUCCGCGCUGCAUUAGCUAGUUGGUAAGGUAACGGCUUACCAAGGCAACGAUGCAUAGCCGACCUGAUAGGGUGAGCGGCCACACUGGAACUGAGACACGGUCCAGACUCCUACGGGAGGCAGCAGUAGGGAAUCUUCCGCAAUGGGCGAAAGCCUGACGGAGCAACGCCGCGUGAGUGAUGAAGGUCUUCGGAUCGUAAAACUCUGUUAUUAGGGAAGAACAUAUGUGUAAGUAACUGUGCACAUCUUGACGGUACCUAAUCAGAAAGCCACGGCUAACUACGUG
rnacentral:rRNA from 1 species